rnacentral:rRNA from 1 species
UACGUAGGGGGCAAGCGUUAUCCGGAUUUACUGGGUGUAAAGGGGGCGCAGACGGCGAUGCAAGCCAGGAGUGAAAGCCCGGGGCCCAACCCCGGGACUGCUCUUGGAACUGCGUGGCUGGAGUGCAGGAGGGGCAGGCGGAAUUCCUGGUGUAGCGGUGAAAUGCGUAGAUAUCAGGAGGAACACCGGUGGCGAAGGCGGCCUGCUGGACUGCAACUGACGUUGAGGUCCGAAAGCGUGGGGAGCAAACAGG